rnacentral:rRNA from 1 species
CCUACGGGAGGCAGCAGUGAGGAAUAUUGGUCAAUGGGCGAGAGCCUGAACCAGCCAAGUCGCGUGAGGGAGUACUGCCCUAUGGGUUGUAAACCUCUUUUGUCGGGGAGCAAAAGCCGGACGUGUCCGGCUGUGAGAGUACCCGAAGAAAAAGCAUCGGCUAACUCCGUGCCAGCAGCCGCGGUAAUACGGAGGAUGCGAGCGUUAUCCGGAUUUAUUGGGGUUAAAGGGUGCGCAGGCGGAUUUUUAAGUCAGCGGUCAAAUCGUGGGGCUCAACCCCAUCCAGCCGGUGAAACUGGGGAUCUAGAGUGUGCGAGAGGUAUGCGGAAUGCGUGGUGGAGCGGUGAAAUGCAUAGAUAUCACGCAGAACCCCGAUUGCGAAGGCAGCAUACCGGUGCACAACUGACGCUCAGGCACGAAAGCGUGGGUAUCGAACAGGAUUAGAUACCCUUGUAGUC